rnacentral:rRNA from 1 species
AGGACGAACGCUGGCGGCGUGCUUAACACAUGCAAGUCGAGCGGAAGGGCCCUUCGGGGUACUCGAGCGGCGAACGGGUGAGUAACACGUGAGUAACCUGCCCCUAGCUCUGGGAUAGCUCCGGGAAACCGGGAUUAAAUACCAGAUACGACCACUUUAGACAUCUGUCGUGGUGGAAAGGAUUCCGGCUAGGGAUGGGCUCGCGGCCUAUCAGCUUGUUGGUGGGGUAACGGCCUACCAAGGCGACGACGGGUA